rnacentral:lncRNA from 1 species
CGGCGGCGUUCGGUCCUCUGGGUGGAAUGUGCUCGCAGCAGCAGUGACGGCGGCCACAGCACGGGAGGCACCCGAGCCAUACACCCUGCAGCUGGAGAGAAAAGGAUGGCCGAGGUGGGAGAGACUAGAGUGAACCAGCAGGAGGAAGUCCCAGGGCCGCGAAGCUACGACGGAGAUCCGUCCUGGAAAAGCCUUCUCCACCCUGGGCACUUUAAGCGGCGGUGGCGGCAAACGGCAGGAGGUUGCAGACCCGACAGCGAGACUCCCUCAUUCCAGUCUUGCUCUGCCCUCCGGAGAUGACAAGUGAGAAAGAAGUGUCCGGCCGGGCCAUCCCCUUCAGAGAAGCAACCACUUCACAAGAAGAUUCUGAAGUUGGCCAUUUUUGAUCCCAGAACAGUUUCUCAUAGAUUAGAAAUAUUGGAGUCUACACAAAAAUCGAUAUUCAUUUACAAGAUCAUCACUAAACUUAUCUUGCAUAACGUCUCUGCCAGCCACAUUAACUGCCUGCAGAAAAGUUUGUUAUGACUGCCUGGUUUUGUAAAGUCCAGACAACUUUACACUAAGCUGAAUAAUGUUCAUUUACUCAAAAGCUAGUCUAAAAUUGUAGAGUUAAUGAACACUAAACCAAAGUUAGUGCUUUAACUGAAAGAUAAUUUACUGUACCCUUUGGAGUCCAGUCCGGUACCAUCAAGAUCUGGGAAAAUACAACUGGGACCUGGGAGCAACAAUGCCUGAGCAGCAAUGAGCAAGUUUAAUGCCCAGUCUUGAUUUCUAAAUGCUUUCCACUAUAAGAAACAAGAGUUUAUUGAGACUCUGAAAGCAGAACAGGGGAAGAAUAAGGAGCUUUGAACAUGUUGGGCCAGAAGUUACCAAGAAUAACUGUAAAAUGUGCUGGGAAUGCAAUGUCCUGAGAUAAGGAAGAACUGCCUGAAACAGCCUGGAUCUUAUUCCUGUACUUCCUAGGGAAUGUAACAUCUCAAGUUAAAGAGGAACUGCCCGGAACAGCCCGGGGAUUGUUCCUCUCUCCUGAGAAGGAAGAUUACCUCCAAAGCUCAUCCACUGAGUCACACUGCCCCUGUGGUGGAGGGCGGGCUGCCUUUCCAGGUUCCUCAGCUGUGGUGUAACUGAAGCAGGCACAAUCAAGACUCCAUCUGCUCGAGGCAGCUUUCUCGAACCUUGGGGAACCUACUCACAAUGGAUCACAGGCUUCUUUUGUUUUGUUUCUUGCUGCCUAUCUGUAAGUAAUUAACUUGCUUCAUGUAACGUGUUGCAUAUGAGUGUGUUCUGUCUCAUAGACUCAGGGAAUUGGUAACACUGCAGCUGAGGACGCAGUGGACAGAAGUGUUCAGACUCCUGUUCCUUGUGGUUGACACAGUGAUGAUGAUCUCUUCUGUCCUCCACAGAGUGGAAGUCCUCUCUUGGGAUUGGUUAUUGGUGAAACCACUUCGCAAUUUAUUAAGAUGGCAAAAGCUUACGGAGGGACAGAUUUGAGGGGAAGAUCAAGAUUUUUCUGUCAGUAUUGCAAAUAGUCAAGAAUAUGUGGUCCAAGAAGUGAUCAUUAUCUUUGGCAUUGUGCAAGUCAUUAGUGACCUUCACAUGAACAGUCUCAGUGGAGUGUUGGAGGAAAAAGCCUAACUGAAGAAGGUUCAAGAGUGAAUGGAAAAAGAGCAGUAGUAUGUGGAGAGUACAGACAAGUAUUUCCAGGAGCCUUUCUGUAAAGAGUGGUAGAGAAUGGGACAUCAUUUUUGGAUGGGGGAAGAGUUAUUUAUAGCAUGUUCAUAUGCUAAUGGAAGUGAUCUACUCAUGGGGAAAAUCUUGAUGAUGCAAGAAAGAAAGGGAUUUGUUGGAAUCUUGUCCUAUAACGGGUGAGAGGGGAUGGGUUCUAGAAGAAAAGGCAUGGGUCUUUGUUUGAGAUCAGGCAAUUCAUCUGUAGGAACCAGUAGGAAGAUGGUUAAGUGGGUACCUGUGGUAGUGGAUGUUUGUGAACAUUCUUUUCUUUUCCAUUGUUUCUAUUUUCUCAAUAAAGUGGGAAGCAAAAAUCAGCUGAGUGAAGAUGAGGAAGAAGGUGUUAAAGGUUUGAAGAAAAAAGGAAAAGGAUAUACUAAUCUAAGAGGACAAGUAAGUAGAACAUAGAUAAUGAAAAUGCUGGCCCUUAGGACUGUUGGGCCUAAAUGCUCAUAUUAUAUUGGUAGUCACAAAUUUGAACUUUCUCUAGAGCCAAUUUUUGCAUGUGUGUGCAGGCCUGGAGUAGUUGGAGAGUUGGAUUUAAUAGAAUUGAGGGUCAAGCAACUACAACCAGGGAAGAGUGGGACAAGGGAGAUAAAGGAUAUUGGCAGGGGAGCAAUUAUAAACAUGGACCAUGAUCAAAACUGGACAGGAAGGAAAAUAGAGAUAAGAGGGGUGGAAGGUUAAAAAUAGUGAAAAUGAGAUAGAAUGAAUAGGUUGUAGGUCCCUGUAAAGUUGAAGAAGUAUUAUUAUGCAGUACUCGUUAUUGAAAUGAGGUCACUAUGCUUAAGGCACAGUGAAUCCUAGAAAAUAGUGGUUUUGUUUCUCAUUAGGCAAUACAUUCCUCCUUGCUCCAGAAUGCAACAUACAUGUAUCCUUUUCUGUACUAUUUUUUAUUAAGAAUUCAUACUUAAUUCCACUGACUGCCACUCAAUUUUAAUGUACAGUAGGGAAUUCCUGUACUAUGUAUUAUGAAUCCAUUCCUUUGAAUUUCAUUUAUAAUACUUCAUGACUGACACCUGGCUUUCCACCAAGACUCAAUUUUCAUAGCAAGCCUCAUCAUCAUAAGCCCCCAAAUUAACAGGAUGAGGAGGAAGAAUUGGCAGGCUAAAGAAGAUGAUUAUAUCAAUUAAUGCAGAAAAAGCAUUUGAUAAAAUCCAAUAUUCAUUUGUAAUUAAAAACUCUCAGCAAGUUAGGGAUAGGAAUUACUUCAACUUAAUGAAGAGUGUCUUUAAAAACCUUAUUUUCAUCAGUUAUAACAAAUGUACCACUCUGGUGGUGAAUGUUGCUAAGGAGGGAAGCUAUACAUGUGUGGGGAAAGGAGAUGUGUGAGCAAUUUCUGUACCUUCUACUCAA